rnacentral:rRNA from 1 species
CCUACGGGAGGCAGCAGUGGGGGAUAUUACGCAAUGGGGGAAACCCUGACGUAGCAACGCCGCGUGAAGGAUGAAGGUUUUCGGAUUGUAAACUUCUUUUGUCAGGGACGAUAAUGACGGUACCUGACGAAUAAGCUCCGGCUAACUAUGUGCCAGCAGCCGCGGUAAUAAUCG